rnacentral:rRNA from 1 species
GAAACUGCCGGUAAUACCGGAUAAUGUCCCCGGACCAAAGGUGUGAUUCCGUCUAGGGAUGGGUCUGCGUCCUAUUAGCUUGUUGGUGAGGUAACGGCUCACCAAGGCCGAGAUGGGUAGCGGGUGUGAGAGCAUGGCCCGCCUCACUGGGACUGAGACACUGCCCAGACACCUACGGGUGGCUGCAGUCGAGAAUCUUCCGCAAUGGGCGAAAGCCUGACGGAGCGACGCCGCGUGCGGGAUGAAGGCCUUCGGGUUGUAAACCGCUGUCAGAGGGGAACAAAUCCAUGAGGGCUAUCCCUGAUGGUUGAGUGAUCCUCAGAGGAAGCGCAGGCUAAGUUCGUGCCAGCAGCCGCGGUAACACGAACUGCGCGAACGUUAUUCGGAUUUACUGGGCUUAAAGAGUUCGUAGGCGGCUUUGCAGGUGGGGUGUGAAAUCCCCCGGCUCAACCGGGGAACUGCGCUCCAAACCGCAGGGCUUGAGGGAGAUAGAGGUGAGCGGAACUCACGGUGGAGCGGUGAAAUGCGUUGAUAUCGUGAGGAACACCGGUGGCG